UGGAGGCAGAAGCAGUUUGCGGGCGCUGCCGGCAGAUGGAGCGGGAGGGGUGCCCGCAGUGCGGCCCCGUACUGCCCUUCCACCCCACGCGUGGGGCUGCCCGCGGGCCCAGCAGCUUCUAUAUAGGGGUCCUCGGGCUGCCGCAGCCCUUCGGGCUUGAGAAAUUAAAAUAGCCCCCCAAAUAACAAAAGUUACAACUGGGAAACUGCCCUCGGAGGAACCCCCGGAGGCAUCGCGUGGGCCACAGGCAGCUCCUGGCUGCACAGCCCUCGGGUACGGCGUGGGAUUGGGACCUGCAAAAGCAGGUUAAGAGGCAAAAAAACUCGGACACAAACUGCUCCUGCACUUGACUUUCCCAAGGCUUCUUAGGAAAGGGAGUGUGUUUUCAUCAGUUUACAAUGAGCUGUUUUAUAGUGUUUUUAUUGCCCGGGAAAGGGUUUAUUAUCGGGAAAGGAUGCGAGAGUGAUGUGUGUUACUGUGAUUGGGUAUGAGGGCUCAUACAGAGUGUGGAGCACAGCGGAGGAGUGGGAAGAGAAGCAAGAAAAAUGCAAUGGGCCAAGAGUGAGGAGAACUGAUUUUAUCCGAGCAGUAACUUCUGCUGGCUGCAUCUCCUGGAAGGAAAAUGAGCUGGGAUUGCAUUCCUGCAAGCAGUAAUGGGAGGUUUUAACAUCCACGCUGACCAAGCAGCAGGAUGCCAACCCAGUGAUAUAAUUGAAGUCUCCUGGCUCCGAUUUCUACCAUCCUCAUUCUGAUCACUGCGGGAUGAAAGAAGAUAUUUUCGACGUGGGGAAGGAAAUACCCUACUGCAUUGAGCAGGCACAGACCUGACCAGCAUGUGUGGGGAUGUUUGGCACCAGUGCUUCAAAGGAAAAUGGUGAAGAGGAACGAAGGAAAUAUUGUCCUUUUUCUUGAGCUGGUUGUUUUGUCUACUUGCUCCAUGAACUCCC
ensembl:lncRNA